GUGCCAGCCGCCGCGGUAAUACGAAGGUGGCAAGCGUUACUCGGAAUUACUAGGCGUAAAGGGCAGGUAGGUGGUUUGGUAAGUCUGUUGUGAAAGCUCCUGGCUUAACUGGGAGAGGUCAACAGAAACUACCGGACUUGAGUGUGGGAGAGGGUACUGGAAUUCCCGGUGUAGCGGUGAAAUGCGCAGAGAUCGGGAGGAACACCUAUGGCGAAAGCAGGUACCUGGACCACUACUGACACUCAGCUGCGAAAGCUAGGGGAGCAAACAGGAUUAGAAACCCCUGUAGUCC
rnacentral:rRNA from 1 species